UACAGAGGUCCCGAGCGUUGUUCGGAUUCAUUGGGCGUAAAGGGUGCGUAGGUGGCGGGGUAAGUCAGGUGUGAAAUCUCGGGGCUCAACCCCGAAACUGCAUUUGAUACUGCCUUGCUCGAGUACUGGAGAGGAGAUUGGAAUUUACGGUGUAGCAGUGAAAUGCGUAGAUAUCGUAAGGAAGACCAGUGGCGAAGGCGAAUCUCUGGACAGUUACUGACACUGAGGCACGAAGGCCAGGGGAGCAAACGGG
rnacentral:rRNA from 1 species